UAUUAAUUAUCAUUAUAAUUAAUUUAUUUUUUGUAACUUUAACGCAAUCAUACAUUUUAUAUGAUUAUAUGAACUCCAAUAUCACUUCAUAGCAGAAUAUUUUUUAUUUAACAAAAUAACUUUUUAUUUUAUUAUAUUAUGUGCACAUGUAUUCAAUACAUGUUUUAUUUAAAUAAGCAAAAUAAUAGGUUGCUAUUAUUUUAUGAUGCUAUUAUGGAUCUAGUAUUCUCUUUGAUAUUUAUAUAAGAACAAAUAAAAUAUUAUGUAAAAAAUAAGAUAUAAAAUAAAACUAAAACUUAAAGAGAUACAUUUCUGUACUAAUUCAAUGAUCGAUUCAAUCGUACAACUUUUUAGUUUUAAUAUUUAGUACAGUGCUUGUAAUUACAUGUAAAUAGCAUAGUGCGAGAAACUCCGAAAAGAAUUGUAAGAGUGUUUUUACCACUUACCUUGUUCAAUUUCUUCGUAGCGAGACAAUACAUCGUUUCGAGCCACCCUUAUGAUCUCCACUUCAUCAAUUCUUGGCCCUUCUCCAGCAUGCAGUCCCUUUCCAACGGCACAGCGAAGGAUAACUGCGUCUAAUGGUCAAAUGGAUCAAAUGCAACAAAGUGUUCAGUUUGGGUUCAGUAGCGACGGCGCGGCACGACGCGGUGCGUCACGCAAGCAUCUUAUUUGAUAGAAAUUGGUUCGGUUUGUCCGUCGAAGACCACCACGAGUCGCGAUUCCUUUGGCAGACUUGGCAGUGCUGGGCGCCGCGCCGAGAAAGCGCACGCUCUUCCGACCGCUCAUUAAAGCGGCAUUCACAAGCUCGUAUCGUGUCUCUGGAAACGCCCAAUCACGUAGCCGAAUACAUUAUACGACUGUUAUAUCCACCAUGCAACUGCAUGAGAGAGAACGUGCAACCAAUGCAGAUUCUCUUUGGUCAAUGCGAGAGAUCUGUCACAGACUUGACACUCUGAACCCUGAUAAUCGGCAUUUGUAUCAGUACAGCAAUAAAUCUGAACUGCUCUAUGGAAGAGAUCUAUGAUCUAUA